CAAUAGCGUAUAUUAAAGUUGUUGCAGUUAAAAAGCUCGUAGUUGGAUUUCUGGUAGGAGUGACCGUUCCGAACUUGAUUGUUCGUGUAUUGUGUUUUCUUCAGCCAUCCUUGUGGAGAACUUUUCUUGCAUUAAUUUGUAGGGCUUGGGACCCGCAUCGUUUACUGUGAAAAAAUUAGAGUGUUUAAAGCAGGCAAUCGCUUGAAUACAUUAGCAUGGAAUAAUAAGAUAGGACUUUGGUACUAUUUUGUUGGUUUGCAUACCAAAUUAAUGAUCAACAGGAACAGUUUGAGGAUAUUCGUAUGAACAUGUCAGAGGUGAAAUUCUUGGAUUUUGAUCAGACGAACUACUGCGAAAGCAUUUAUCAAGGAUGUUUUCAUUAA
rnacentral:rRNA from 1 species